rnacentral:rRNA from 1 species
GAGGAACGCUGGCGGCGGGCCUAAUACAUGCAAGUCGAGCGAAGAGAUGAGGAGGUUGGUCCUCUGACGUUAGCGGCGGAGGGGGGGGUAGCACUUCGAUAACCUACCUAUAAUACUGGGGGAAAUUCGGGAGAACGUAGCGAAAACAGGAUAAUAUAUUGAAGGGCAUGGGUAAAGAGUGAAAGACGGUUUUGCGGUCGCUUAUGGAUAUAUCCGCGCCGCAUUAGCUAGUUGGUAAGGUAAAGGCUUACCAAGGCAACGAUGCGUAGCCGGUCUGAGAGGGUGAUCAGCCACACUGGAACUGAGACACGGUCCAGACUCCUACGGGAGGCAGCAGUAGGGAAUCUUCCGCAAUGGGCGAAAGCCUGAUCCAGCAACGCCGCGUGAGUGAUGAAGGCCUUCGGAUCGUAAAGCUCUGUUAUUAGGAAAGAACAAAUGCGUAAUUAACUAUGCACGUCUUGACGGUACCUAAUGAGAAAGCCCCGGCUAACUACGUG